AGAGUUUGAUCCUGGCUCAGAAUGAACGCUGGCGGCGUGCUUAACACAUGCAAGUCGCACGAGAAUUCUUCUGCUUGCAGAAGAUAGUAAAGUGGCGCACGGGUGAGUAACGCGUGGGUAAUCUACCUCCGAAUCGGGGAUAACAUUGCGAAAGCGGUGCUAAUACCGGAUAACAUCAUCCUUUCCUUGGAAAUGAUGAUCAAAGGUGGCCUCUACAUGUAAGCUAUCGUUUGGAGAUGAGCCCGCGUACCAUUAGCUAGUUGGUAGGGUAAAAGCCUACCAAGGCGACGAUGGUUAGCUGGUCUGAGAGGAUGAUCAGCCACACUGGAACUGACACACGGUCCAGACUCCUACGGGAGGCAGCAGUGAGGAAUUUUGCGCAAUGGGGGCAACCCUGACGCAGCAACGCCGCGUGAGUGAUGAAGGCUUUCGGGUCGUAAAGCUCUGUCAAGUGGGAAGAACCUGUUUUGUGCCAAUACCACGAAACACUGACGGUACCACUGAAGGAAGCACCGGCUAACUCCGUGCCAGCAGCCGCGGUAAUACGGGGGGUGCUAGCGUUAUUCGGAAUCAUUGGGCGUAAAGGGCGCGUAGGCGGUCCUGUAAGUCAGAUGUGAAAUCCUUUCGCUUAACGGAAGAAGUGCAUUUGAAACUGCAGGACUUGAGUAUGGGAGAGGGAAGUGGAAUUCCUGGUGUAGAGGUGAAAUUCGUAGAUAUCAGGAGGAACACCCGUGGCGAAGGCGACUUCCUGGACCAAUACUGACGCUGAGGCGCGAAGGCGUGGGGAGCAAACAGGAUUAGAUACCCUGGUAGUCC
rnacentral:rRNA from 1 species